rnacentral:tRNA from 2 species
GGAGAGAUGGCUGAGCGGUUGAAAGCACCGGUCUUGAAAACCGGCAUGGGGGCAACUCCAUCCUGGGUUCGAAUCCCAGUCUCUCCGCCA